UACGUAGGGGGCAAGCGUUGUCCGGAUUUACUGGGCGUAAAGAGCGCGCAGGCGGUCGGAUAAGUCGAAUGUGAAAGCCCCCGGCUCAACUGGGGAGGGUCAUUCGAUACUGUUCGACUCGAAGGCAGGAGAGGGAAGUGGAAUUCCCGGUGUAGUGGUGAAAUGCGUAGAUAUUGGGAAGAACACCUGAGGCGAAGGCGGGAUGCUGGGCCGACACUGACGCUGAGGCGCGAAAGCCAGGGGAGCAAACGGG
rnacentral:rRNA from 1 species